UCCGUCGCCCCCUCAAUCGUCAACUCCUCAUCAGAGCGGAACAAAUCCCAAAGUAAAUGUCCGCUUUCUGAUUUAUUUCCAUUUCCCUCCGAGGGAAGUUGGGGCGUUUGUGAAGCGUCUCCUGCGGCCAGAGUCUGAUGUAUCGCUGAGAGGUUUUAUGACGUGUCAGCGAUAUUUACAGAUUUGUUCACUGAGAUCAUUACAUUUGUCUUCAAUGCUUAAAUUUCGUUAGACCUGCGGUGAAAGAUUUAUUGGAGGAAAAGCCCAUAACUGUAAGCGAACCGCAGCUGAAGAUGAGGGAACAGCAACAAGUGAACCUGCCAAAGGACUGAGAACGUCAACUGGAGAGAACCCAAUGUUGCCUUGGGCUUGAGGGGGUAUUGCAGAAGGGAUGGGAGAGUCUGUCCUUCUUUCACGGUGAUCCAGACAGCGGGGCAGUGGUAUGGCCGACUUCAUGGCUUUAAAUUGCCCAGAGAUGGGGAACAACAUCAACAUCAGAGAUGGGGAACAACAUUCGGUCAAUAUUAAAGUAAUGUCUUACCAGAUGUCCCGUCUUCACCUCAGACUCCUUCCAGUAUUGGAGUUGGCCCACGACCAAGUCUUGCCAGUCUCCCUCUCUGUUGGAGGCUUGUUUCAUCAAGGUGUAGGCAAGGAACCCUGGGCUCUUUGGCUUGAAUCCAGGGCAAACCCUAACGGUGAUAUGGGGAACCACCAGUCCUGUCUGUCGCCAAAGGAAAUCUGGAACUUUGGCCAGAAAUGCACUGCCCUCUCUUCCUUUCACCUCUCCAAUCACCGUGACUGGGAACUUCUGUCCCUCGAGGAGUGUAUAAUAUUGGCUUUCCUCAACUGAGCACCCCGUAGGCUCAUAGCACAGAGUCACAUGAGAGUCAACCGCUGGCAGAAGGGGUUCAAAUGCAGUGGAGUCCAGGUUAAGUGCUCACCACUGGGGGUCAGUAACUGGGGAAACUGCCAGUUGUUCACUGGUCCCAGGGUCAUACCCUUGUCUGAGCAUAGAAUCUCGACUUCCAAGGUACAUAGCAAGUCUCCCCCAGACUGGUGGUGGCUGUAAAUGAAACAUCACACUGGAUCCCCUGGAAUUCCACCUGCACGUGAAUACAUGCGUUGCGUGCUUUGGUUCCCAUUUCUGAUCCCCAGAUAUAGCCUGCUUGCGUCGUUCUUCCCACUGAACAUAUUCACCUUUGAUAAUACUUCCCUUCGGGGUUCGUCCGGAUUCAAAAGCCGGGUCCCAGUAAUAUGUCAAAACUCGUCGCAUUCGAUUUUGUUCAUAGUCAGGCCGAUCCAUAUUAUUUGUUUUAAUCAUGUUGGCUAACUUAGUUGGUAAGCAUUGGAGCAGUAAGGCAUUAAACUGGGGGGGGGGGGACAAAUUCCCAUCAUUAAAGGCUUGGUCUCCUGCAAAAGUGCCAUAGCAGCCCACAAUUUGCUCCCAAUACUCUGGUCCCGAUUCUCCAGGCAUAGGUUUGCAUUCAAGUACUUUAAUGAUGUUUACAGAUUGCUGGAGAGCCCUUCCAAGGCUUGAAUAAUCUGGUCUGUCUGUUCAUUCCCAUUAUGGUUUCCCGUCUGUAACUCCUGAUAGGUUUGGUAUCUCAAUUCGGCCUUCCAUUUCCACCCCUCAUCAGCUGAGAGAAUCAUGCAGCAGAGACUGAAUAAAUCUUGCAAGGUUGCAUUAAACAUUUGUUUAGUACUGCGGACAUACUGAGCAAACUGUGCUGGUUGUUCUUUUCUAUCUGGGGCCUGAUUCAUGAUCAUUAUCAUUUCCUGAGGCUUCCAGGGUGCAUACACAGGAAUUACUGAGGGCUGUCCCUCCUCCUGCUCAUGGAUUGGGCAGCAUUCAGGUGGGCAAUGGUCUUUGUGGAGCCAUUAACUCUGCUGUUUUAUUGGAUUCUUCCCUCCCUGUCACGGAAUAAUCCUCGGUAUUCCCUUUCUGGAUCUCAGGGUAUAGGGACCUCCCCUUCCCUGCCGCCGCUGUUUUACCCGAGUGGCCACCAUAUCUGAGUACUGGGAGGAUUGGGGUUCGGGAGCACUGGGUCCACUUUGCCCCUGGUAAGCUGGGGGGGGGGUGGUACGGUGGGUGCCCACUCCUCAUCACGGUUAUUGUCCUCAAACAGGGUCGGUAUGCCAGACAUGGGUUCGGGAUCCCUUGUUUCCUUAUCAGUUCGAACUUUAGACUUGCGUUCCUGCCCUCCUCUCCUAUCUACAAGAUGUGUAUCCAGCUACAGCUUGUAACCCUGCACUUUAAGGAACUAGAACUUGAAAUGGAUGAAUUCUGGAUCAUCCAGAAGAUGGAGGGGUUGAUAGAUAUGACAUGAAGAAAGGUGAGUUACACUUAAGGUGCAGGACACUGGAAGCUGGGUGAAAGUCAGGAAGGAGAAUGAGAUUCAAUAGCCAUCGCAGAGUACUCUUGUGGCCAACCCCCACAACAACAAGUGGGCCUCUUUACAAAUUGUUGGAGGGAUUAUCUAGUUAACGCAACAGAACAAGAGGGGACUAAUAUCCUAGUGGUAAGGUUUGCUGGUGCCAGUGUGUGGGGGAGGGGUGAUGUGGUUAAAAUAGUUUGCAGGGAGAAUGGGAGCCAGAAUGACAGAACAGAGAGUGGAGAUGGUGAAUUGAAUUGAAUUGACUUUAUCACAUACAUCCUUCAUCUACACGAGGAGUAGAAAUCUUUACAUUACAUCUCCAUCUAAAUGUGCAAUGUGUAAUUUAUAGUAAUUUAUAAUAGAUAGUUUAUACAUCUGUCAGUCAAUAUAACAUAGAAAUGCAUUUGUAUCAGCAUGAAUUAAUCAGUCUGAUGGCCUGGUAGAAGAUGAUGCUCCAGAGCCUGUUGGUCCUUUGCUGUGGUACCGUUUCCUGGAUGGUAGCAGCAGGAACAGUUUGUGGUUGUGGUGAAUGGGGUCGCCAAUAUCCUUUGGGCCCUUUUUACACAACUGUCACUGUAAAUGUCCUGAAUAGUGGGAGGUUCACAUCUACAGGUGCUCUGGGCUGUCCGCACCACUCUCUGCAGGUUCCUGCGAUUAAGGGAAGUACAGUUCCCAUACCAGGCAAUGAUGCAGCCAGUCAGGAUGCUCUCA